rnacentral:rRNA from 1 species
GCGCAGGCGGUUUCUUAAGUCUGAUGUGAAAGCCCCCGGCUCAACCGGGGAGGGUCAUUGGAAACUGGGAGACUUGAGUGCAGAAGAGGAGAGUGGAAUUCCAUGUGUAGCGGUGAAAUGCGUAGAUAUAUGGAGGAACACCAGUGGCGAAGGCGGCUCUCUGGUCUGUAACUGACGCUGAGGCUCGAAAGCGUGGGGAGCGAACAGGAUUAGAUACCCUGGUAGUCCACGCCGUAAACGAUGAGUGCUAAGUGUUGGAGGGUUUCCGCCCUUCAGUGCUGCAGCAAACGCAUUAAGCACUCCGCCUGGGGAGUACGACCGCAAGGUUGAAACUCAAAGGAAUUGACGGGGGCCCGCACAAGCGGUGGAGCAUGUGGUUUAAUUCGAAGCAACGCGAAGAACCUUACCAGGUCUUGACAUCCUUUGACCACUCUAGAGAUAGAGCUUCCCCUUCGGGGGCAAAGUGACAGGUGGUGCAUGGUUGUCGUCAGCUCGUGUCGUGAGAUGUUGGGUUAAGUCCCGCAACGAGCGCAACCCUUAUUGUUAGUUGCCAUCAUUUAGUUGGGCACUCUAGCGAGACUGCCGGUGACAAACCGGAGGAAGGUGGGGAUGACGUCAAAUCAUCAUGCCCCUUAUGACCUGGGCUACACACGUGCUACAAUGGGAAGUACAACGAGUUGCGAAGUCGCGAGGCUAAGCUAAUCUCUUAAAGCUUCUCUCAGUUCGGAUUGUAGGCUGCAACUCGCCUACAUGAAGCCGGAAUCGCUAGUAAUCGCGGAUCAGCACGCCGCGGUGAAUACGUUCCCGGGCCUUGUACACACCGCCCGUCACACCACGAGAGUUUGUAACACCCGAAGUCGGUGAGGUAACCUUUUUGGAGCCAGCCGCCUAAGGUGGGAUAGAUGAUUGGGGUGAAGUCGUAACAAGGUAGCCGUAU